CCUACGGGAGGCUGCAGUAAGGAAUAUUGGUCAAUGGACGCAAGUCUGAACCAGCCAUGCCGCGUGGAGGAUGAAGGUCCUCUGGCUUGUAAACUUCUUUUAUUUGGGAAGAAACUCCCGAUUUCCAUCGGGAUUGACGGUACCAGAUGAAUAAGCACCGGCUAACUCCGUGCCAGCAGCCGCGGUAAUACGGAGGGUGCAGGCGUUAUCCGGAUUCACUGGGUUUAAGGGGUGCAUAGAUGUCAGGGGAGAAAUCUCCGGGCUUAACCCGGAAAAUGCAAGUGAUACUAUUUGUCUUGAAUACUCUGGAGGUGAGCGGAAUAUGUCAUGUAGCGGUGAAAUGCUUAGAUAUGACAUAGAACACCCAUUGCGAAGGCAGCUCACUACGGAAAUAUUGACGCUGAGGCACGAAAGCGUGGGGAUCAAACAGGAUUAGAUACCCGGGUAGUC
rnacentral:rRNA from 1 species